UUAAAGGGCGUACUAUAUACUUACUGUUUGAAUGCUGGCACGGGUGCUGUCCCCAGUCACAUCUUUUUAACUGAUGGAAUACAUUCAUUUGUUCAUGAUAUUGUAUACUAGUCCCAUAGGCUCUCCUUAUUUCGGUUAAAAACCUUCUGCCCUGGGGACAGAUGGAUAUAUUUAUGGAUGAUCCUGAAUCUUUUUUCAAGGUCCUAAUACUACCUCUGCUUUAUGUCAAGAGUGUUGCUGAUUACCUGAAGCCUCUUAUACAAUUGUGCAAAACUGCCGUUGCUCAAGUUCCUUCUGUUACUAACCAAGAUCCCAUACCCUCAUACCCUAAUGGGUGACAAUAAAGGGUGCCAAUCAAUAAGACCACUUCUCUGUUCUGGUCUUUUUUGCUGUACUGGGGAUCAAACCUAGAGUCUUGGGCAUGCUAGUAAAGCACUUUGUCAUAGAGCUACAGCUCCACCAUGUGGUGGUUUGAGAGAAUAGUCUCUUACGUAUCCUGGGCUGGGCAGGUACUCAAUCCUCCUGCUUCUCAGUCCCAGUUACGGGAAUUUCGGGCAUUGCCACCUGUAAUGUAAACAUAUGUGCCUGUUUCUGUGCGCAGAGCUGCAUUUGUCCCUCUUCCCAAGCACUGGAUAAAGGAAACCAAACUAAGUCAUUUCAUUUGUAUUCAAGACCUUUGAACCCAGAUCAAUCUGUUCUGUUUUUAAUUCUCAGGCUAGCCCAGAACUUAAUAUAUAUAUAGAUCCCAGGCUGGCCUUGAGCUCAGGAUCUAGCCUGUGCUUCAUAAGUGUUGGCAUAACCGAUUUCUACCACUAUGCCAUGGAGUCUUUGACGUGCAUACUUCAUUUCGCUGUAGUAAUCUGAGUCUGGUAAAGACCUUACCUUACUUGUAUUAUGGCAGGAGGGGCUCAGUCCUUAAGAUCCUUAACAUAGUAAAUGUGCUUGUGUUCACUGUCUUGUACAUAUUCUCAUGUCCACAGCUGAGCCUUUUAGAUCAGGACUCCUGGACUUAUCAAAGUGAAAGGGCUCGCUAAUAUAAAGCCUCUUUCAUGAGACCACAGAUUGAAACGAUUGCAAUACUGUCAAUGGUCCUUCAAGGUAAGACUUCUGUCUCUGAUCAUUCAUAUCCUCUUGGCUUUAUGGAACUGUGUGCUGUUCACUUGAAACCCCUUUCUCAAACUGCUUGUGUACAUACUGGCAAUUUUAGUAGGAUCAGUUUGGCACUCACGUUGAAGUACAGAAGUGGUGUUGACCUAUAAGGUCCCCUUUUGUGGCUUGCUAAUAAUGACUGAUUGUAGUGGUCCUUUUCUGUUUACUACAGAAGGAAAUCACUCUCUGCCUUUAUGUCUUGUGCCUUUCCCUUUCAGCAGGGAAUGCGCAUUGUCAAAGACCCUUAUGUUUGAACAGCAAAAGUGCAAAACUGUCAUGGCCACAAGCAUGAGCCUUGCAUAUUAGUGUGCGUUAACUGCACCCGGCUCAUUCAGUUUGGAUAUGAUCCUACUCUCAAACCCUUUUGCGGUACAGCAAGGGUUACUAAUCUUAUGGCUUCUUCAUCUUCCUGGACACUGGGUAAGGAUAUCCCCUUCCUUUCCAUUCUUUAAUUUCCAGGACUGUCUAUUACUUUAAGGACUUAAUAUCUGCAUAAAGGGUGUGGUUUUAAUUGAUUACACGAUGUCCCUUGAACAUUAAUAUACAUGACAGGGACAUGAUCAAUUCAUUUUAAUAAAAAUACUUGGGCACUUAAUGUGUAAAAUCACAGUUGUCCACAACCUUAUUAACUUUCAGGACCACUGUAUCUCUUUUGCACUACUGCAAGGGAUACUAUACUUUUUAUCCCCCCAAGGUUCCCGCUAGUGGACCAUUAAUAUACAGCGAAUUUUCCUUUGUCUUUGCCAGUAGACAAGGGUGAGCCCUUCACCUUUCAUUUGCAGUAUAUCAGGGUCUACUGAUCAAGCAAGGCUGCGGACUGUCAUCAUAGGUUAUGUCUGCAUAUGCACUGCCUCCUGCUCUGUGCACUGGACAAGGAUCCCGCUCACACCACCACCUUCAGCAGGUGGUGUCUCUGCUCAAGACUUGUCAUUUGGAACGUUCACACGAACGAUGUCUAAGCACUUCUGUGAGAACUACUGUACCCUCUUCCCCGCUUUAAAGCAGAAAGGGGGCUCCACGAAGUGCUCUUUACUUGGACUUCAAAGUGCGUUAAUGCCAUUGUCCAGCACUACGUUUGGAGUAGGAUGCUACAUCCUUGCACUCCUUUGACCCCAGAGGCACGCUGGUUACUUCUGAGCACUUCUCUUGACAAUGUCAAUAUGUCCCCUUUCACAUCAUGGACCUGUAUGGCAGAAAAGGAUCUGAAAUGCCUACCUGUUGACUGGGGCUGCUGAGUGUAACUAUAACCUCAGCAUUUGGAUGAUUACUGAGCAAAAGUGUCAAGGACCUCUGUGCUGUCCUUCCAUACCAUCAAGGCUACUAACCAAGCUCCAUGAUUGUUAGUGUGAAUAAUUUAUGACUGCGUGCCUAGAAUCAGAUGUCCUCACAAGCCCCCUUUAUUAUUCAGACCUUGCUGAGCCACCUAAGACACCCGAGACUGUCUGUCCAUGAGCACAGUGACUGAUGAAUGGCUUGCUUUUUCUUCCUUAAACUUAUUUCGGGACUAUAAUAGGCACAAUGGCAGUUCUUGGUGGUAUUUUCUACUCUGACUUGUUGAGCAAACCCCCUUCUCUACUUUCCCAUUGAUAUAAUAAAGUAAAAUACAACACAACAGUACGUACACCCGACAGUGACCCAUAUUUGGACCCUUUUUUUUUGCACUGCUUUACUAAAUAAAAUUGUAAAUAGUCACAACCUCACACUUUAUAUUGUCUUCCUUUUGCCCGGCCCCUAGCUUGUCCAUGAACCACUCUUCUGGACUACUAAUUCUCAGAAACCCAUCAUUAAGGAAGAGUUUGUGCCCUUUCCCGAGCCCAUCACUCCAUCAUCCCUUUGGCCUCUUUGUUUACACCGUAUUGACUGAGUAAAGCCCUUCUCUUGACUUAAAGUCAACACCCCCAGAAGCCAUCAGUUUACUCCCUUCAUAUGGCUGCAAUGCUUCAGUUGCAUUCUCCUUGGUCCCAUUGAACAGAGACACUUCCAGUUCUUGCAUUAUUCUGGGUGAUGUUAAUUGCCCAAAACACCCUAUUUUCUAUUAAUAAACUUGCACGUAUUUAUUUAUACACCGAAUAGCAAAAGCAGGCCAAAACUAGGUGGAUGAGCCUUCUUUAACUUGCAUUUCUAAAAUUACUCCAAUUCCAAUCGCUGGCACAUUCUAGGGCCAGGAACCAGUCUUGCCUACCAUUAUUAAUGCUUUAUUGUGCAAAAUAUUUGAGGCAAGGUGCUCUGGGAGUUGGAUCGCCACCUUUUAUUUGGGGCUUUCCUUAUAUAGUAUCAACAGAAAAAUUGUCUCCCACAGAAAGAAGUUUAGCACUUUUCUCUCCAUUCUUCCUCCAGGAGCUUAAGAAACUUUAAACUCGGCUUUUGUAUAUUGCUGCUUGCUAUUGUACAGUACCAACUGCCAGAAAAGUUAUUGAUAGCUUUACAUUUUAAGAAAGGCAUUUGAGUUGCAAGGUGGAUUGAUUGUGUGUGAUCAUUAGCUUUUCUCAAGUAAAAAUAGCCGUUUGUAUUAUAGCUGAUGACUAAGUGGUCAGUGUGCUGAGGGCGGUGAGUCUGUGCAUAGAUAGAGCACUGCAAUACUGCAGAAUGUUUAAGACAAGCGUCUUUGCUUGGUCUGUUCUGCAAGCUUAAAAAGUCAAAAAUCAAUCUUUGUGUGGCCUUUAGUAUGAUUAAUUUUUAGGAAGACGACCUAAUCUUUAUAUUUUGUCUGACAUUGUUCACCAGCCCCUACUUGUUUUUAAAAGGUGGCUGUGGAAGAAUUAAAUUCGAGAACAUGUCAAGUCGCCUUCGAAAAUUAUAAGCCACAUUUAAUUUAUUCUAUCCACCAUUAAAUUCUGGCAGUAAUUUGAAGUGGCUUGAAAUAAACCACCAUAAAGUGGGAAGUUAGAGAGCUGUUUCCCCACUUUACAUUUUAAAAUAUGUAUGCCAGGAUCUAAUCAUUCCUUUAAGUGUACACUUCAAGGAGAGAUGUGCCGAAUAAGAAAAUAGCUUUCUCUAGCGUGAAGGGUUUUGCGUCCGCCGAGUUCUUAAGGUCUUUUUUAAGAGCUACUGUGUAUGAGUGUGUGUAUGUGUGCGCAUGCAUGUUCCUGCGACUAGUCAUUCAUUCACAUGGUGAUCAGACAACAAUGGGAGCUGGUUCGUCUACCUUAUCUUGUGGGUCCUGGAGUUCAAUCUCAGAUCAUCAGGCUGGGCAGCAAGUGCCUUCACCCUCCGAGCCAUCUUGCCAUCCCACAGCUGAGCGUCUAAUAUGACAUUGCCGAUGAAAAUAGUCAUCACAACAGCAGUUCUUCAGCAUUACUGAAAAAAAAAAAGAUACUAUUUUUCUGAGAAGGAUAUCAAGCAACUCAUCCAGUUCAGGAUCCAGGUUGAACCACUGCUCUUCAGUUCCAUCAGACUCUGGCUGUUUAGAGUACAGGGUGAAUCUGGAGUUGGUUUUGUGCCCCUGCCUCAAGAAGGAUUGCCUGGAUUUAGAGGAGUGAAGAGUGCUGGAGAGUGCUGGUUGACUGAGAGUCUCUGCCCUUACGGGAACAAUCCUGAUGUGACACUCAGACAGACAGACUGCCAGCGGCUGAUACAGGCUACAUUCCAUUCCAGCAGCUCUUCCCUUCAAGCCCUAGCUAAUCUGAAGAAAAAGCUUACAGGCCACACAGAGGGGAAAAAAGAUUUCCCCCAGAGUCUGGGCUUGGUGCUUUGCAGUGCUGGCGACCUAUUCCCUUUGACGAUCCCUAGGUGGAGAUGGGGCAUGAGGAUCCUCCAGGGGAAUAGCUCACCGCCACUGGGCAACAGGCCUAGCCCCGAUUUCAGUGAGACACUUUCCAGAACCCAGCAAGGAAGACAAAGGCUCAAAGACAGCUAGCCACCCUACAUCAAAAUAGGACAAAAGCUGCCACAAUAGUGGCACCGACCUCAGGAGGAAGCCAUUCUGCUCUAUUUGGUUCUCCCUGGAAGCUAGGAGAAUGUGGCCAGCUGUUUACACACUUCAAGAUGCACUCUGCUACCCUACCUGUAAUACACAAUGCCAUCUACCAAAUAUCACCCUUCCCCAAAGCAGCACAGAAAACUGAACCUUCAGCACGAUCAAGAAAUGUAAACACAUGGAAGAACGCCAGCUUUACAUACGACCAGAGGAUCAACAUGUCUGACUUAGCAUCUUAAGGGCAACAGACUGAGUGUGUUGUGUUUUGCGUCCUUCUUGUUUUGUGUACCUGUUUCUUCCUUGCUCUGUGUGUUCAAUUUUUUGUUUUAUCUAUUUCUUCCUUGUCUUAUUUAUCUCUUCCUUGCUCGGUGUCUAAUCCUUUGCUACAUCUAUGCCUUCUGUGUGCUUUGUGUGCCUGUCUUCCUUGCUUCGUGGAUCUAUUUCCUUGUGAUUCUACUCCUUUGUCACCUCUAUUUCUUCCUUGCUUUGUGUGUCCAUGUCUUUCGUGUUUUAUGUAUCUACUUCCUCCUCGUGUGUCUAAUUCUUUGUUACAUCUAUUUCUUCCUUGCUUUGUGUGUCUAUAUAUAUAUAUCUUCCUUGUUUUAUGUAUCUACUUCCUCCUUCUAAUCUUUGUCACCUCUAUUUCUUCCUUGCUUUGUGUGUCCAUGUCUUCCUUGUUUUAUGUAUCUACUUCCUCCUCGUGUGUCCAAUUCUUUGUUACAUCUAUUUCUUCCUUGCUUUGUGUGUCCAUGUCUUUCGUGUUUUAUGUAUCUACUUCCUCCUCGUGUGUCUAAUUCUUUGUUACAUCUAUUUCUUCCUUGCUUUGUGUGUCCAUGUCUUCCUUGUUUUAUGUAUCUACUUCCUCCUUCUAAUCUUUGUCACCUCUAUUUCUUCCUUGCUUUGUGUGUCCAUGUCUUCCUUGUUUUAUGUAUCUACUUCCUCGUGUGUCUAAUUCUUUGUUACAUCUAUUUCUUCCUUACUUUGUGUGUCUAAGUCUUCCUUGUUUUAUGUACCUACUUCCUUGUUUUACGUAUGUAUUUCUCCUUUGCGUUGUGUGUCGUAAGUGUCUUCUCUGUCUGCACUGUCUCACCUAUCCCCACGUUUCUCUUGCAUGUUUUUCUUGUAGAGCUUUGAGCUUUGUUAUAUUUUCUCUGGUGCCUAUGGGGUCUGCCUUGUCUUAAUGAGCUGUGGUUUUCUGUUUUUUCUAUCUGUUUGCUAGUUCUCUUAGCUCUCUUUCACUCCUGUCUUUCCUGACUCGCCUUUGGGUCACAUGUUGUAUGCAUGUGUCUUUUUCUUGUGCUCACCCCACUUGUUCUUUGUGCCAGUUCUGUUUGUCAGUCCUUCGACUCACCAUUUCACAUUUUUCUUUCUGCUGUUUUUCCAUCCUUAGCACUUUCUUGUUUACAUUUCCUUCCUGCCUUUAUUGGGCCACUUUCUCUUUUUUCAUCCUUUGUGUUUGUGUCUCUUUGCUGUUGGUGAUUUCUUAUCUCAGCAUGAUUCUGUUGCUUGUUUCCUUCUUUCUGUUCACUUUGAGCAUUUAUGUCUGUCUGUCUGUCUGUCUGUCUGUCUGUCUCUCUCUCUCUCUCUCGUAUUCUAAAGUAAUCCUCUCUUGGAUAUUUCUUUGUGUAUGUACAUAUGUGUGUGUGCAUGUGUGUCAUGUGUGACGGGCGUCAUAGCCCCUUCCCAAUAGGUCCAGAAUGUUACCUGUGGAGUCGUUCCUCACACCAGUCUGCCCUGCGAAAUAAUCUAAGACAAAAUACAUCAUUUCGUCUGUCCGGUCAGAAUUGAAGUGGAUCUGAAGUGAACACAUGUUAAAAAGCCCAAAGUGGAAGACAGAUGUUUUGUGACUUGGGACUUAAGGACCAAAGUACAUACAUGGCCCAUCUUGAGCUGGCUCGACAGAAUGCUGACAACUCAAAGGAGAGGGACUGUUUCUACAGGACGCCUGGGACGUCUAAGAACCAGGAGCUACAUCAUAAGACAGAAAACCUGAGCUAAGUCCAAGCAUAAAACCCGAGGACCCAAUCCUAUGUGGACAAAAUGUCUAAGAGAUAAAGGCCCAUGGCCCAGAACUUUGGAAGGAUAGAAAUCUCAAGAUCAAGAAGAUGAGGCCCCCAACCCCAGCACCCUUUCCAUUUCUUAUAUUUCUAUUUAAGCUGGCUUCCCUUGAGGAUGUAAUUUUCAUUGUUGUCAUUCCCCAUAAAGGAAUAUAUUGUUAGGUUGAUAGUAUUGUGCAGGGGUCUGUUUUAAACUUGAUCUUAGCCAUUUGUUAAAUUUUUGAUGUUUUAACUUCCAUUUCUCUUCACAUCUGCUCCACUUGAGACAAGAGAACAAAAUCCAGUCAGUAUAUAUAUAUAUAUAGAUAUAGUCUGACUUUUGCUAUUCCCUGAGGAUACAGAUACCCAUACAGAUACUGUGCUUCCACUCUCCCUCUCUCAGAAGCCCUAGGCUGACAAGACAAGGAAAACAUCAGGCUGUUAGGGGAAAACAAUGUCAGGCUAUCUAGAGAAAAUAUGAAGAGUUGUUCCAGACCAGUGAGAAGAAUUAGACGAGCAAUAUGCAGAUGUGCCAACCUUCUGAGAAGCACCAGCCAACAUCACCUUCCUUCUUUGGGCUUAGGUGAGCAGGGCGUGGAAUUUCUAAUAAUGGUUUGGGGACAAAAUGAGGUCUGAACCCCCUGCUCAUAGUAGUGGCCGAGUAAUUUGACGUAUUUCAUCAAAAGAAAUCCUGGGUUUAACACUCACCUUUAGGCUUAAUGAUGAGAGAAUCUGGGGACUACUUAACAGGCUUAAUUUUUAUCGUGCCUUCCUCUUCCCCUGUAAGGGGAAGUCAACUUAAAGACAUACAGUGAAAAACUAACAUGCUGACAGCACAUUGGCAAUCAUGCAUAGCGAGCAUCUGAAAUCAUGAUUUGAGUUUUCCUAUAAGGCAGGCAUAAGACUGUAAGUACCUGAGGUUUUGUGGGCCACUGGUCUCAGUUGCAUAUUUUUCUUUUUAAAAAACACCUUUUCAAAAGGCAAGAGUCACCCACUGACUGGCCCAUUGCCGGUACUUGCUUAAGCCCUCAUAUAAAUAAAUGCCAUUUAUAUGUCUGAGUAACAUUAAUUUCCUUCUUUAUGCAUAUUUUUAUGCUGAGUACUUGGGAUGUGAUGUUUAACUGUGGUCACUCCCGGUAACAAGAUCUUACCAGGUAACCUGAAAAUGUAUGAAUACGUAAACCAUGAAGCACAUGACAACUUCCAAGUCAGUGUUGACUAUGAGUGUGUAUUAUAUAGUAGCCGAAUUCUACAGUUCUAUGUGCUUUAGGCACAAAGAUUGCUGUAGGAAUAACGAAUAAAAACAUAUAAACUUAAUGAGGCUUGAAUGAAGGAUACCCCAUCUACUUAAGGGCAGUGUGUUUCUUCUACUGCUCUGGUGAGGCUCAGUAAGUUGUAUUAUACCGGGUAGCAGAAGAGAAAGCACACGGAAACUGAGUUUUAAACUACAAAAUAGGUCACAGAUACAGGUGAUUGGUUACCCUAUUCGGAUCACCGUCUAAUUUCCAAAUACCAUGUUCAUUCAGCACUGGAGAUAAUAACAAAGAGGGACAUUACACAGAAGUAAAAUUUAUGAAAGAAUGUGUUCAAGUGCUUUGUAAAAUAAAGCAUUGUACAGUUAUUAAUUGCUCCCUGUGUGCAGAUGAAUGAAUGCUACCUAACCUCGUGUAUCAGGAAUUGUUUUGGGUGCAUGAAAUAUUCAUGAGUAAGUGUCAUGAAUUGUUUGCACCCCGUAGUAUUCAUUUACAAGGAAUGAGAUAAUGCUUAACGCUUAAUUUAACCAGUCAAGACUUUAGUGAUGAGGGCAUGGUAAUACAUGUCAUGGAGAAACACGUUAUCACUGUGUACUUUAAGGCAGUUCACAAGUGUAAGACGUGACACACUUUCUAUAGAAAUAAAGCUGCCUAUAAAAUAGGCGUGGUCUACAAACUUUUCAUUGUAUUUUUUUUGGCCCACAAUGAGAAUAGUAGAAAUAGUUAACACACUGGGAGUGCUAGCAUAUGCUCUGAGCUCAAAGUAGCUGAAGCAGCAGGACCACUUGAGCCCAGAAAUGAGGCCAGCCUCAAUGAGAUCAAUCUCAAACCUAGAGGCAAAAUAUUGUCUACUAAAUAUAUACUCUCUUUUAUGGGUGCUAGAGAGAUACACGGACUUACAUUUCAUUGUGUCCACAGCUAAGAGUAAUAUAUAUUGGCAUUUUAUGAACUCUGAGGUACCAUAUAACAAUUCAUUUUCUUAUUUGGUGCCAAUUUCCAGGCUUUUAAAAUUCUGCCACAUUUAUUAUACUGUGAAAAUAAAAUAAAUAGGUGACUGUGGAACACUGAAUAUAUGAGGCAUUCAGCAUUUGAUGACUACCGCACUGAAUGGCAAUCAUUUAUUAUAAAACAGUGCCCUUGCUAGGCAUUGGGAUGCGAAGACCAUUCUUAAUGUCCUGUGUAUCUAAAGAAAUUGUAUACAAGAUUAAUUUAUAAUUUGUAAGCUGCCAUAUAAUGCAAUGUUUGCCUAGUGAGCAAUGACUACUUGCUUUUAUCCCCAGACAUGGCACCUGGAAAUACAAAAAUUCAUUACCAUUAUUAAUCCACAACAGAGAUCUGUGUGGCGCUUUAUGAAGUCUACAGUUCUAUAAAGUCAGGACUUAACCGUUGGCUUUAUCAGGGAACACUGAUUACUUUCUAAGUUUCAUAAUGGUUGAAUGCUUAUCACCCAAAGGCACCUAAUAAUAAUUUUACUGUGCUAUGUGUUGAGUGAACCAAGAUUGCUUUGUAGCAUUAUGUAGUACUCACAGGAAUAAAAUCUAGACCAAAGCCUCAUUUCACUUCAGUGAGGAAAUGAAAACAGAAAAAAAAAAAUGGAUUUGUAUAAGGCAGUGUGCUAAGUGUUGCCCUAAAUGGGCUAUCCUGUCUAGAAGGAUGCUUCCCGGUGGGCUUGACUGAGGAGAUGGAAAUUUACCAAUGAGAGGUACUUUUUCUUAAAUGUUGAAUGCUGCUGCUGGAGAUGAAUUACAAACACCUUGCCAGUAAAGGUGUGACAAUAUAGGGUCAGAGUCAUGUAAUCCCAGAGCAUGGAUAUCAAUGAGGGAACAGAAAGGAAGGGGCCAGAGCAUCAGAUGCUACGUAUUUAGUGUGGUCUAGAACCUCUCAAAUUAGAAGUACCGGCUGGUACCAAGCAUGCAGAGCACAACAGCUAAUUAAAUAUGGUAACCUAGGUCCUAAAACUAAAGUGUCGGGUGGACCUAGUAUAUAUAUCACUGAUCAUAGAGGAGAUGGUCUCAUACAACCCAGGCUGGUUUUAAUUGGUGAAUCUUCUGUCACAGCUUCUCAAGUGCUGAGAUUACAGAUGUGUGCACUCAUGCCCAGCCUGUAGAAUGUAUCUGAUUACUGAGUGAAUAAUAGUUUUUAAAGAAUAUUUUAUGUAUGUUGAGUACACUGUUGCUGUGUUAUGACAUACCAGAAGAGGGCGCCAGAUCUAUUACAGAUGGUUGUGAGCCGCCAUGUGGUUGCUGGGAACUACACUCAGUACCUCUGGAAGAGCAGUCAGGGCUCUUAACCGCUGAGCCAUCUCUCCAGUCUCCGGAAUAAAUAUUUUAAAAUAAAUAUGUUAAUGGAUGUUUGCUUGAAGGUGCUAUGCUUGAUGGAUUAGUUAAAUAGGUGUGGCCUAGAAGACUCACUGACUGGUUUGGCGUAAAGAUUUUGAAAACUCAACAAAGGCCAAGAUUCCUUUAACAUAAAAUGGAGAUGUUCCUAGCUAAUUAAGGAAGCUCCAAAGGUCAUUUCCUCAUUGGCCUAGCUUGAAGCUAGGAUAAGAGGACUUAAGGUCUCUGCUUUAAUUCAUUACCGGCUCUCCUUUCCUUACAGUUGAAGUAUUUCAAAGGAGAAUCAAGACAAAUAAUUCUAAACAUAUUUGCUCAUUGCCUGGCUCAGAGACAUGUGAGCAAUAAGAAAAUACUGUCAUACUCACACUUUUAACCCGAGGGUGAGUAAAGUGCAGUUCUAAGUACUCAAAAGAACAAAGACAUUUAAAGGAUGUAAGCCAAAGUGUACUUUACCUCAGUAGUUCAUGAGGGGACUGCAGUAACACAAGAGACUACAGCUCUCACUUUAACUGGGGAGAAAAAAAAAAAUCAAGAUGUGGAGGAGGAGAGUUAAAUAAAAAUAAGUUGUUCUUCUUAUGGGCCUGCUUGGUAGAGUGGAAAUAAGAGAGGUUCUCUUUCCUCACUCAGUUCCACACAUUGCGGAAGAUGCUACUGGAUGCUAAGUGAAACACCUCUAUUCCAAAGGGCAGGCACUUAGUGUGACUUACAGAUGCCUCCCAAAGCAGAGAGAUGCUCUUUAUGAAAAAAAUAUUAGCUCAAACAUUUUCUAGCCUGAAGGACACUUGCCUUUGAUUGCCUCAUCUGUUCUACAAGCAUUUGCAUGUCUCUUCUUAAGCCUUCACUUGGCUCCUGAGACGUGAAAAUAAAGGAAGCAAACAGAUUUCGCUUCCCAGGGAGGUGCUGGAUUUUGGGGUCUGCUUUCUGGAUAGUGGCACAACUUAAUCCCCAAGUAAUAUGUAAUUAAGCCCUCGUCCUCAUCUCUUCUCCGGCCGCUGCAAUGAGUAGGAAGCUGGGUUUUGUAGCAAGUCUGACCCUAAAGUGACAAAAGCCCUCCAUGCAAAGGAGCUCAAUGUUCUAGCCCAAGUCCUAUUUUACCUAUGACUGUGACUACCAGUACCAGUCAGGAGGGAUGGCCAUGUAAAUUCCACAAUCUUAGCUCCUUUGCAUUAUCCUGUGGCAAACAACCUGUUUUCGAGCUGCAGCAGGUUAUGAAAUACAUUGGCCUGUGUUCAGCCUUUCACCUGUUUACAUGCUAAUGCAUGUAAAUUGCCUGACUGGGUCUCUUUCGUAAAGCAUCAGUUAGCACACAGUAAUUUUAGAAACGUUCUCCUUACUAGAAAGUGUAUAUAUUCAAGGCGGUUUGCAAUGGUAAAAUAAUGCCAGUAGAUGAAAAUAACAUUAAAGUUCAACAUGCUUGCAUAAAAUUUAAGCAUAAUAAAAUUGAAAAUUGGAGGAAAGGCCAAAUCGAAAGAACUUGGAAAAAACAAAACCCAAAAAUGCCUUCUACAGGAAGGACAGACUGCGCUUUGACCCUUUCGAUUUUUCUUUCACUCACAGAGGGUGGGACAGGAGGACGAGUGAAAGAAAGGGUCAAAGCUAUGUGGACUGCUUUGUUUUUAAUGCAGUUCCACAAAACUGGUAUUAAUUCGCUAAAUGUUUCUGAAAAUGUAUUUUCAUCUAAAUGGCUAUCAGCUAAGCCUUGAUGGGAAUGAAAUAUAUUAGUUCAAUCAAUGUGACCUCUUUAUCCAAGUUGCCUUAAAGCUGAAGUCACAAUUUGCUGUAAAGGUUCUUAUUCACUGUGGCUCACGCAUACUUUCAAAGUAUCUAGACUUUACUCAGCGAGCCAAUCACGAAAUCCUCAAACAGAGAAGGAAACACAAAAGGGACAGAAUAGAUGGAGCCAGUUCGAAGAGGUCUGGUAGUUCAAAAUAUCUUGCUUUUCAUUUUCAUUAAAAAUCUGGUAUCAGAA
rnacentral:sRNA from 1 species